rnacentral:snRNA from 1 species
UUUUUUUUUUUUUUUUUUGAGAGA